rnacentral:rRNA from 1 species
AUGGAUCAAUCCAUCCCUUUUUCCCUUGCAUAUGCAUCGGACUCGGAUGACGAUGGUCCCGAUGAAGAAGUUGAUGAGGAGGGGUUCACGCCGAAGGAGGCCGAAGCAUUCAAGAAGGUAUUCGGGCGGGAUCACAAGACACCAUUGUUCAAGGAUCUUAGUCUCGCGGAUGAAGCCGUUGUGGAUGGUGGCAAAUGCAUAUCUCUUGGAGCUAGGCCAAGUUCUCAC